rnacentral:rRNA from 1 species
UGGGGAAUAUUGCACAAUGGGCGAAAGCCUGAUGCAGCGACGCCGCGUGAGGGAUGACGGCCUUCGGGUUGUAAACCUCUUUCAGCAGGGAAGAAGCCACAAGUGACGGUACCUGCAGAAGAAGCGCCGGCUAACUACGUGCCAGCAGCCGCGGUAAUACGUAGGGCGCAAGCGUUGUCCGGAAUUAUUGGGCGUAAAGAGCUCGUAGGCGGUUUGUCGCGUCUGCUGUGAAAGCCCGGGGCUUAACCCCGGGUGUGCAGUGGGUACGGGCAGACUAGAGUGCAGUAGGGGAGACUGGAAGUCCUGGUGUAGCGGUGGAAUGCGCAGAUAUCAGGAGGAACACCGAUGGCGAAGGCAGGUCUCUGGGCUGUUACUGACGCUGAGGAGCGAAAGCAUGGGGAGCGAACA